UGGCUGUCGUCAGCUCGUGUCGUGAGAUGUCCGGUUAAGUCCGCUAACGAGCGCAACCCUCGUCGUAUGUUAUAUGUGUCAUACGAGACUGCCGGUAAAAAGCCGGAGGAAGGUGAGGAUGAUGUCAAGUCAGCAUGACCUUUAUAUCCAGGGCUACACACACGCUACAAUGGUCUGUACAAUGGGUAGCCAAGCCGCGAGGCGGAGCCAAUCCUGAAAGCAGGCCUCAGUUCAGAUUGCAGUCUGCAACUCGACUGCAUGAAGCCGGAGUUGCUAGUAACCGCAGGUCAGCAAUACUGCGGUGAAUACGUUCCCGGGUCUU
rnacentral:rRNA from 1 species